UACGGAGGGUGCAAGCGUUAUCCGGAUUCACUGGGUUUAAAGGGUGCGUAGGUUGAUUGGUAAGUCAGUGGUGAAAUACUCCGACUCAAUCGGAGAACUGCCGUUGAUACUAUCAAUCUUGAAUACGGUGGAGGCGGGCGGAAUGCGUCAUGUAGUGGUGAAAUACUUAGAUAUGACGCAGAACACCCAUUGCGAAGGCAGCUCGCUACACCGGCAUUGACACUGAGGCACGAAAGCGUGGGGAGCAAACAGG
rnacentral:rRNA from 1 species